rnacentral:rRNA from 1 species
GAUGAACGCUGGCGGCGUGCUUUAUACAUGCAAGUCGAGCGAACGGACGAGAAGCUUGCUUCUCUGAUGUUAGCGGCGGACGGGUGAGUAACACGUGGAUAACCUACCUAUAAGACUGGGAUAACUUCGGGAAACCGGAGCUAAUACCGGAUGAUAUUUUGAACCGCAUGGUUCAAAAGUGAAAGACGGUCUUGCUGUCACUUAUAGAUGGAUCCGCGCUGCAUUAGCUAGUUGGUAAGGUAACGGCUUACCAAGGCGACGAUGCAUAGCCGACCUGAGAGGAUGAUCAGCCACACUGGAACUGAGACACGGUCCAGACUCCUACGGGAGGCAGCAGUGGGGAAUUUUGCACAAUGGGCGAAAGCCUGACCGAGCAACGCCGCGUGAGUGAUGAAGGUCUUCGGGUCGUAAAACGCUGUUGUUAGGGAAGAACAUAUGUGUGAGAAACUGUGCACAUCAUGACGGUACCUAAUGAGAAAGCAACGGCUAACUACGUG